rnacentral:rRNA from 1 species
UACGUAGGGGGCGAGCGUUGUCCGGAGUUACUGGGCGUAAAGGGCGCGCAGGCGGUCUGGUAAGUUUGGAGUGACAGUGCUCGGCUUAACUGAGCAAGGCCUUCGAAAACUGCUAGACUUGAGCACUCAAGAGGGACAUAGAAUUCCGGGUGGAGUGGUGAAAUGCGUAGAUAUCCGGAGGAAUACCAAAGGCGAAGGCAGUGUCCUGGGGAGUGUCUGACGCUCAGGCGCGAAAGCUAGGGGAGCGAACAGGA